rnacentral:lncRNA from 1 species
AUUCAGGAGAACCCAGGCGUUGGGGAGCCCCAUGACGCCGGUGUUCCCUCCCGCGUGGAUGGGCAGGGGCUGAACGUGAGUCUCCAUGGCUCUUCCCGGGCCAAGCCCAUCUCCAGGACAUACCUUUCUCCUGUCGCUUGUUAGACGCUGUGCACUGAAGACCUAGCCUUACCCAAAGGGAAGUCUUGCCUUGGGUCUUGGCUGGAGGGUGGUGAUACCUCAGGUCCUGGAAUGGCCCCUGGUAGUAUCUUUGCUGGCCUGGGGGCUUUGGAUGGUUCA